rnacentral:rRNA from 1 species
UGAAUACGAGACGCUACGGCGUUGAAGCAGUCUAUGUCAUACUUCCAAGAAAAGCUCGCAAUGUCUUAAACAAAUAAUGCCUGUACCAUAACCGACACAGGUGGGUAGGUAGAGUAUACUAAGGGGCGCGAGAUAACUCUCUCUAAGGAACUCGGCAAAAUGACUCCGUAACUUCGGGAGAAGGAGUGCCUUAUUUAUAAGGUUGCAAUAACAAGAUCCAAGCAACUGUUUAUCAAAAACACAGGUCUCCGCUAAGUCGUAAGACGAUGUAUGGGGGCUGACGCCUGCCCAGUGCCAGAAGGUUAAAGAAGUUGGUUAGCAUUAGCGAAGCUGAUGACUGAAGCCCUGGUGAACGGCGGCCGUAACUAUAACGGUCCUAAGGUAGCGAAAUUCCUUGUCGGGUAAGUUCCAACCCGCACGAAAGGCGUAAUGAUUUGGAUACUGUCUCGGAGAGGGACUCGGUGAAAUAGACUUGUCUGUGAAGAUGCGGACUACCUGCACCUGGACAGAAAGACCCUAUGAAGCUUUACUGUAACUUGAAAUUGAAAUUGGACUUUAUUCGCGCAGUAUAGGUGGGAGGCUUUGAGAAUAUUCUUGCGGGAAUAUUUGAGCCAUCAGUGAGAUACCACCCUUGUAAUGUUAGAUUUCUAACUUUGUAUCAUGAUCUGGUCAAAGAACAGUUUCAGGCGGGCAGUUUGACUGGGGCGGUCGCCUCCCAAAUGGUAACGGAGGCGUACAAAGGUUUCCUCUGAACGGGUAGAAAUCGUAUCUAGAGUGUAAAGGCAUAAGGAAGCUUGACUGUGAGACCUACAAGUCGAGCAGGGACGAAAGUCGGUCUUAGUGAUCUGACGGUGCUGAGUGGAAAGGCCGUCACUCAACGGAUAAAAGUUACUCUAAGGAUAACAGGCUGAUCUCCCCCAAGAGUUCACAUCGACGGGGAGGUUUGGCACCUCGAUGUCGGCUCAUCGCAUCCUGGGGCGGUAGUACGUCCCAAGGGUUGGGCUGUUCGCCCAUGAAAGCGGUACGCGAGCUGGGUUCAGAACGUCGUGAGACAGUUCGGUCCAUAUCCGGUGUAGGCGUUAGAAUAUUGAGAGGAGCCUUCUUUAGUACGAGAGGACCGAGAAGGACAUACCUCUGGUGUACCAGUUAUCGUGCCAACGGUAAACGCUGGGUAGCUAUGUAUGGAGAGGAUAACCGCUGAAAGCAUCUAAGUGGGAAGCCCACCUCAAGAUAAG